ensembl:lncRNA
AGCCAAGGCCAAAUGGAGCGAUACCCCUCUAAGACCGAAAUCACUGCAAUGGCUAAAAAAGUUGUGGAAUAUUAUCCUAUGCUGCAGGAUAAUGAUGCAAGCGUAAAACACGAGAGCAUUAAUGCCAAGUUACAAAAAAGGCUGCAAAAUAUGAAAACCCCAGUAAAAAGGCAAGGACCAACACCGGAGAGGGGACGGCCCAAGAGAAGGCUCACUGACCUCUACCCAAGGGAUGAAGAAGCUGAUGAUGAAGAUGCUGAUCGCAGUUCUUCCAGUGGUGCAUCUACUCUGUUAUCACCUGUCAGAAAUUCUGACAAUGCCUCCACUUCAUCUGACAAGGAUAGUCGGCAAAACCAAACCAAGAAGAUGUGUCCCAGCUAUUA